GCCGCGGUUCAUCCGUUAUCAUGUCGGCAGCUGAGUGCGCGCUCGAGACCCCAUCAGAUGGGAGCUCUCAUCAAUCCAGACAGGAAGGGUAAACAGAUGGAAGACGUGACUGGACGUCUGGAUAAGGGACGUCCCACCACAUCCACUAAAACUUUCUCAGGCAGCGCUGGUAAAAGCUCGUCUCUCUCAUCUCCAUCAUCAGCGUCUCUCAGAGCUAAAAUGAGCGUCUGCGGUCCA